GGACAACCCGCCGAAAGGCGGGCUAAACCCGCGUACAUGCCACCGGGGCAUCCCGGAGGCAGGAAAGGCUUCGGCCGGACAGGGAUGGGCAUGCGGCGCAUUAGGCAGUAGGCGGGGUAACGGCCCACCUAACCGACGAUGCGUAGGGGUUCUGAGAGGAAGGUCCCCCACACUGGUACUGAGACACGGACCAGACUCCUACGGGAGGCAGCAGUGAGGAAUAUUGGUCAAUGGUCGGGAGACUGAACCAGCCAAGCCGCGUGAGGGAUGAAGGUACAGAGUAUCGUAAACCUCUUUUGUCAGGGAACAAAGGCGGGGACGUGUCCCCGGAUGAGUGUACCUGAAGAAAAAGCAUCGGCUAACUCCGUGCCAGCAGCCGCGGUAAUACGGAGGAUGCGAGCGUUAUCCGGAUUUAUUGGGUUUAAAGGGUGCGCAGGCGGUCUGUUAAGUCAGCGGUCAAAGCCCGGGGCUCAACCCCGGCCCGCCGUUGAAACUGGCAGUCUCGAGUUGGAGAGAAGUAUGCGGAAUGCGCGGUGUAGCGGUGAAAUGCAUAGAUAUCGCGCAGAACUCCGAUUGCGAAGGCAGCAUGCCGGCUCCACACUGACGCUGAGGCACGAAAGCGUGGGUAUCGAACAGGAUUAGAUACCCUGGUAGUCCACGCAGUAAACGAUGAAUGCUGGCUGUCCGGGGGGGACUGACCCCUGGGU
rnacentral:rRNA from 1 species